CUCACCUUCUCAUCUAGGCAACCAAUGGAAAUAGAAUUCAUUUCUUCAUCAUCGCCGUGCUAGCUUUAUCAUUUACAGCAUGCCGUUGUCAUGGUAAUCUGAGUUGCUACGGGUCAUUCCCAACAUGCCCAUCACUGGGGCUGGCCAACGGAGUUUCAGUUCAACUAGUUCAAAAGAUCGUAAACACCUCUGGAUAUCUAGGGGUUUCGACAAACCUUCCAGGAUUGGCGAGUUUCUGUAGAAUUCCUGAUUGUAUCAGCAACCCUUGCGUGCACGGUGAUUGCAUUGAGACCAACUUUGACUACCUAUGUCGUUGUCCGAGCAAUUACAAAGGCAAAAAAUGCGACCAACCAACAGGAGAACCGGUCAUGUUUGUUUCAGAUGCAGACAAAAGGAUUUUCGUGUCAG